ensembl:snoRNA SNORD116 Small nucleolar RNA SNORD116
GGAUCGAUGAUGUCUUCCACAAUGCAUUCCUUGGAAAGCUGAACAAAAUGAGUGAGAAAUCCCUACUGUCUCCUUUCAUUUUACAGGUCC